rnacentral:rRNA from 1 species
UAACCUGCCCAAGAGAUCGGGAUAACACCUGGAAACAGAUGCAAUACCGGAUAAUAACAGAUGAUGCCUAUCAACUGUUUAAAAGAUGGUUCUGCUAUCACUCUUGGAUGGACCUGCGGUGCAUUAGCUAGUUGGUAGGGUAACGGCCUACCAAGGCGAUGAUGCAUAGCCGAGUUGAGAGACUGAUCGGCCACAUUGGGACUGAGACACGGCCCAAACUCCUACGGGAGGCAGCAGG